AGCGUACACGGUGGAUGCCCUGGCAGUCAGAGGCGAUGAAGGACGUGCUAAUCUGCGAUAAGCGUCGGUAAGGUGAUAUGAACCGUUAUAACCGGCGAUUUCCGAAUGGGGAAACCCAGUGUGUUUCGACACACUAUCAUUAACUGAAUCCAUAGGUUAAUGAGGCGAACCGGGGGAACUGAAACAUCUAAGUACCCCGAGGAAAAGAAAUCAACCGAGAUUCCCCCAGUAGCGGCGAGCGAACGGGGAGCAGCCCAGAGCCUGAAUCAGUGUGUGUGUUAGUGGAAGCGUCUGGAAAGGCGCGCGAUACAGGGUGACAGCCCCGUACACAAAAAUGCACAUGCUGUGAGCUCGAUGAGUAGGGCGGGACACGUGGUAUCCUGUCUGAAUAUGGGGGGACCAUCCUCCAAGGCUAAAUACUCCUGACUGACCGAUAGUGAACCAGUACCGUGAGGGAAAGGCGAAAAGAACCCCGGCGAGGGGAGUGAAAAAGAACCUGAAACCGUGUACGUACAAGCAGUGGGAGCCUCUUUAUGGGGUGACUGCGUACCUUUUGUAUAAUGGGUCAGCGACUUAUAUUCUGUAGCAAGGUUAACCGAAUAGGGGAGCCGAAGGGAAACCGAGUCUUAACUGGGCGUUAAGUUGCAGGGUAUAGACCCGAAACCCGGUGAUCUAGCCAUGGGCAGGUUGAAGGUUGGGUAACACUAACUGGAGGACCGAACCGACUAAUGUUGAAAAAUUAGCGGAUGACUUGUGGCUGGGGGUGAAAGGCCAAUCAAACCGGGAGAUAGCUGGUUCUCCCCGAAAGCUAUUUAGGUAGCGCCUCGUGAAUUCAUCUCCGGGGGUAGAGCACUGUUUCGGCAAGGGGGUCAUCCCGACUUACCAACCCGAUGCAAACUGCGAAUACCGGAGAAUGUUAUCACGGGAGACACACGGCGGGUGCUAACGUCCGUCGUGAAGAGGGAAACAACCCAGACCGCCAGCUAAGGUCCCAAAGUCAUGGUUAAGUGGGAAACGAUGUGGGAAGGCCCAGACAGCCAGGAUGUUGGCUUAGAAGCAGCCAUCAUUUAAAGAAAGCGUAAUAGCUCACUGGUCGAGUCGGCCUGCGCGGAAGAUGUAACGGGGCUAAACCAUGCACCGAAGCUGCGGCAGCGACGCUUAUGCGUUGUUGGGUAGGGGAGCGUUCUGUAAGCCUGUGAAGGUGUGCUGUGAGGCAUGCUGGAGGUAUCAGAAGUGCGAAUGCUGACAUAAGUAACGAUAAAGCGGGUGAAAAGCCCGCUCGCCGGAAGACCAAGGGUUCCUGUCCAACGUUAAUCGGGGCAGGGUGAGUCGACCCCUAAGGCGAGGCCGAAAGGCGUAGUCGAUGGGAAACAGGUUAAUAUUCCUGUACUUGGUGUUACUGCGAAGGGGGGACGGAGAAGGCUAUGUUGGCCGGGCGACGGUUGUCCCGGUUUAAGCGUGUAGGCUGAUUUUCCAGGCAAAUCCGGAAAAUCAAGGCUGAGGCGUGAUGACGAGGCACUACGGUGCUGAAGCAACAAAUGCCCUGCUUCCAGGAAAAGCCUCUAAGCAUCAGGUAACAUCAAAUCGUACCCCAAACCGACACAGGUGGUCAGGUAGAGAAUACCAAGGCGCUUGAGAGAACUCGGGUGAAGGAACUAGGCAAAAUGGUGCCGUAACUUCGGGAGAAGGCACGCUGAUAUGUAGGUGAAGUCCCUCGCGGAUGGAGCUGAAAUCAGUCGAAGAUACCAGCUGGCUGCAACUGUUUAUUAAAAACACAGCACUGUGCAAACACGAAAGUGGACGUAUACGGUGUGACGCCUGCCCGGUGCCGGAAGGUUAAUUGAUGGGGUCAGCGCAAGCGAAGCUCUUGAUCGAAGCCCCGGUAAACGGCGGCCGUAACUAUAACGGUCCUAAGGUAGCGAAAUUCCUUGUCGGGUAAGUUCCGACCUGCACGAAUGGCGUAAUGAUGGCCAGGCUGUCUCCACCCGAGACUCAGUGAAAUUGAACUCGCUGUGAAGAUGCAGUGUACCCGCGGCAAGACGGAAAGACCCGUGAACCUUUACUAUAGCUUGACACUGAACAUUGAGCCUUGAUGUGUAGGAUAGGUGGGAGGCUUAGAAGUGUGGACGCCAGUCUGCAUGGAGCCGGCCUUGAAAUACCACCCUUUAAUGUUUGAUGUUCUAACGUGGACCCGUAAUCCGGGUUGCGGACAGUGUCUGGUGGGUAGUUUGACUGGGGCGGUCUCCUCCUAAAGAGUAACGGAGGAGCACGAAGGUUGGCUAAUCCUGGUCGGACAUCAGGAGGUUAGUGCAAUGGCAUAAGCCAGCUUGACUGCGAGCGUGACGGCGCGAGCAGGUGCGAAAGCAGGUCAUAGUGAUCCGGUGGUUCUGAAUGGAAGGGCCAUCGCUCAACGGAUAAAAGGUACUCCGGGGAUAACAGGCUGAUACCGCCCAAGAGUUCAUAUCGACGGCGGUGUUUGGCACCUCGAUGUCGGCUCAUCACAUCCUGGGGCUGAAGUAGGUCCCAAGGGUAUGGCUGUUCGCCAUUUAAAGUGGUACGCGAGCUGGGUUUAGAACGUCGUGAGACAGUUCGGUCCCUAUCUGCCGUGGGCGCUGGAGAACUGAGGGGGGCUGCUCCUAGUACGAGAGGACCGGAGUGGACGCAUCACUGGUGUUCGGGUUGUCAUGCCAAUGGCACUGCCCGGUAGCUAAAUGCGGAAGAGAUAAGUGCUGAAAGCAUCUAAGCACGAAACUUGCCCCGAGAUGAGUUCUCCCUGACUCCUUGA
rnacentral:rRNA from 1 species